rnacentral:tRNA from 1 species
GUCACUUUGCCGGAGUGGUUAACGGGAUCGCCUGCUAAUGGAGCUACCUCCUUAGCUUAGCGGUUGGGCUUUGCCCGCGUGUGUUCGAAUCGCACAGGUGACG